rnacentral:rRNA from 1 species
CAGGACGAACGCUGGCGGCGUGCCUAACACAUGCAAGUCGAGCGAGGAGAUCCUUCGGGAUGAUCCUAGCGGCGGACGGGUGAGUAACACGUGGGCAACCUGCCUCAUAGAGAGGAAUAGCCUUCCGAAAGGGAGAUUAAUACCUCAUAACAUUGCAGUUUCGCAUGGAACAGCAAUUAAAGGAGCAAUCCGCUAUGAGAUGGGCCCCGCGGCGCAUUAGCGUAGUUGGUGAGGUAACGGCUCACCAAGGCGACGAUGCGUAGCCGACCUGAGAGGGUGAUCGGCCACAUUGGGACUGAGACACGGCCCAGACUCCUACGGGAGGCAGCAGUGGGGAAUAUUGCACAAUGGGGGAAACCCUGAUGCAAGCAACGCCGCGUGAGUGAUGACGGCCUUCGGGUUGUAAAGCUCUGUCUUCAGGGACGAUAAUGACGGUACCUGAGGAGGAAGCCACGGCUAACUACGUGCCAGCCGCUGC